CUCUCUAGUCAAGCGUGUGGCCCGAGGGUGGCCGGAGGGUGUUGACCUGUGUCACAAUUCCCGUGUUCAUCCUGCACGGAGCUCAGUCCCUCUUGUUUCUGCCUGGGGAGUUUGGAGCCGGAGCAGAGUCUCUGCCUCCAGCCUCCGCCUCCUCAGUGAUUGUGUCUGCGCCAAAAGGCAUUCCACCCAAGAGGCUUCCCCAGCUAGGAACAAGGGACAGCAAAGGAGCUGGGCAGUUGAAGGACACCUCUUCAGAUGACCCUCUGGGGGCAGCGUAGUCAGCCUGACCAGGGAGCAGCUGCUAAGCGCCCUUUUCCUCAGCUGUUUGUGCCAAAGAUUGUGCGGCCACCUGACCAUUGGGCCCCAGCCAAGACCCACGGCGGGGACGAAGGCCGUGAGGCCACCUGCUCAGCCGCUGGCUUUGGGUUCUGAUUGCUGGGCGCCCUUCUGCACUAGAAGUAAAUUCUUGCCUUGCGGA